GGUCCAUAUCCUGUGUAGGCGUUUCGCCUGUAUCUAAAUCCGACACAGGUAGGUUGGUCGAGGAGACCUAGGGGAGCGAGAUAACCAUCUCUAAGGAACUCGGCAAAAUGGCCCCGUAACUUCGGGAGAAGGGGUACCCUCGAAAGAGGGUCGCAGUGACCAGGCCCAGGCGACUGUUUACCAAAAACACAGGUUUCCGCGAAGUCGCAAGACAAUGUAAGGAAGCUGACGCCUGCCCAGUGCCGGAAGGUGAAGGAAGUCGGUUCACGCUGGCGACCGAAGCCCCGGUGAACGGCGGUCGUAACACUGACGAUCCUAAGGUAGCGAAAUUCCUUGCCAGGUAAGUUCUGGCCCGCACGAAAGGCGUAACGAUCUGGGCACUGUCUCGGAGAUGGACUCGGUGAAAUAGAAGUACGAGUGAAGAUGCUCGUUACCUACACCCGGACAGAAAGACCCUAUGAAGCUUUACUGUAGUCUGCAAUUGGGUUCGGGCUUUUCUUGCGCAGUCUAGGUGGGAGGCUGGGAUCGCUUGCUUUCGGGUAAGCAGGAGCCAUCAGUGAGAGACCACUCUGGAAGAGCUAGAAUCCUAAUUAUGAUUCCUUGAAACAGGACGUUUGACAGUUGCAGGUGGGCAGUUUUACUGGGGCGGUAGACUCCUAAAAGGUAACGGAGUCGUGCAAAGGUUCCCUCAAGCCGGACGGAAAUCGGCUGUAGAGCGCAAAGGCAGAAGGGAGCUUGACUGCAAGACCUACAAGUCGAGCAGGGACGAAAGUCGGCCUUAGUGAUCCGACGGUUCCGUGUGGAAGGGCCGUCGCUCAACGGAUAAAAGUUACUCUAGGAUAACAGGCUGAUCGCUGCCAAGAGCUCGUAUCGACGUAGCGGUUUGGCACCUCGAUGUCGGCUCGUCGCAUCCUGGGGCUGGAGCAGGUCCCAAGGGUUUGGCUGUUCGCCAAUUAAAGCGGCACGCGAGCUGGGUUCAGAACGUCGUGAGACAGUUCGGUCCGUAUCCUCCGUGGUCGUUGGAAAUUUGAGAAGACUUGUCCCUAGUACGAGAGGACCGGGAUGAACGAACCUCUAGUGUACCGGUUGUGGCGCCAGCUGCAUCGCCGGGUAGCUAUGUUCGGAAGGGAUAACCGCUGAAAGCAUCUAAGCGGGAAGCCUGCUUCAAGAUAAGAUUUCCCUGUGUGGGGUUUCCCCACACCUGAAGUCCCCUGGAAGACUACCAGGUGAUAGGCUGCAAGUGUAAUAAUAGCAAUAUUUUUAGCUGAGCAGUACUAAUCGGACGUGAG
rnacentral:rRNA from 1 species